rnacentral:tRNA from 1 species
UAGCUCAAUGGUAGAGCAACUGUUUUGUAAACAGCAGGUUGUGGGUUCGAUCCCCAC